rnacentral:rRNA from 1 species
GACGAACGCUGGCGGCGUGCUUAACACAUGCAAGUCGAACGGAAAGGCCCUGCUUUUGUGGGGUGCUCGAGUGGCGAACGGGUGAGUAACACGUGAGUAACCUGCCCUUGACUUUGGGAUAACUUCAGGAAACUGGGGCUAAUACCGGAUAGGAGCUCCUGCUGCAUGGUGGGGGUUGGAAAGUUUCGGCGGUUGGGGAUGGACUCGCGGCUUAUCAGCUUGUUGGUGGGGUAGUGGCUUACCAAGGCUUUGACGGGUAGCCGGCCUGAGAGGGUGACCGGCCACAAUGGGACUGAGAUAGGGCGCAGAAUCGUACGGGAGGCAGCAGUGGGGAAUAUUGCACAAUGGGCGGAAGCCUGAUGCAGCAACGCCGCGUGCGGGAUGACGGCCUUCGGGUUGUAAACCGCUUUCGCCUGUGACGAAGCGUGAGUGACGGUAAUGGGUAAAGAAGCACCGGCUAACUACGUG